AUGUGCGAUGCGGACCAUGGUCUCUGGCGGUGCAUCGUGCCCAUGAUCUGUGUGUACGCCGUCGAGUGGCAUUUGCCACAACGCGUGGCCACGCAGUUUGGGAUUUAUCAGCAUACCCCAUCGGGCCAGCCCACCGCUACCGGCGGCCACGCGCUCCACCUCAUGAGCCAGCAGAAGAAUCAGUCGAUCACAGACUGGGGAGAGGAGCAUAAGACUCAUGUGACGGAGUGGAACCGACGGAGGUGGCGUAAAGACGUGGAGAGGAGAGUGACUAACUGGGAUGAUUACCUGGGCCGACACAUGAGGUGGUACGAUGAUGGCCAGAAGCACCGUCUUCGUCUCAGGCCUCGAUGGACGGCGGAAGACAUCGCGGAGCUGGAGUGGGCUGACCCCGAUGAACAGGCAUACCAGACGGGCAUCAGAGACAUGCAUAGUGGAUUUAGGGAGUUUGCACCCCUCAUCAACAGAGUGUCCGGUGAGCUGAACAGAUGCAUCUUUGAAGCCUCAGAUGCACUAGGUCAUCUUCCCGGGAGCGUACAAUCUGAGACCAGAGUCAGGGGACGGUGA
rnacentral:rRNA from 1 species